UUCCUCCUAGGAAAGGAAUUUGGAUAUCAUUGGAUCAGCGUACGAUACUGGAAUCUGCAAAAACCAUAAAUGCUCUAAUUUCAUGUCCUUUUUUCGUCUCUAUUUCCACUUUGCUCACCUAUGUCCAAAUUACAACAGCUUUAUGUACGGAUAUAUAUCUCAACUCUUCAGUAAACCAAAGCUUGCGUCUUCUUCUAACAGUGCCAGAAUAUUUACUUAAAAAAAGAAAAAAAGAAAAAAGACAGUGCUAGAGCUCUAGAGGCUAGUUAACUUUAAAUUAUUUACCCCACCCAGAAAAAAAAAAAAAAAGGUUGGUAGCUAAUCUCUCCCCAAUUCCAUUCCUGACCAUCAGAGCUUUACCUUAUUUCAUGAUGUUAACAGGAAGGGAACGAGGAAAUCUCACACACAGAGAUACUGCUCUUGUUCAGAAUUUGAUCGAGAGAUGUUUGCAGUUGUAUAUGUCAAGAAACGAGGUUAUAGCUACUCUCUUGAGUCAUGCUAAGAUUAAACCUCAAUUUACUGACUUGGUAUGGCAGAGGUUGGAAGAAGAAAAUGCUGAUUUUUUCAAAGGUUAUUAUGUAAAGCUCAAGCUGAAAGAUCAAACUUGUUUCUUCAAUUAUUUGCUCCACCAACAGUACCAUAUGACGAGGCAGAAUGGGAGACAACAUCUACCCGUUGACAGUUUACCUCCACCACAACCUUCUAUUCAAUCGCCUUCAAAUCCAAUUUCAUCUACUGGUUAUCAUCGCUCUAAUAGUUCUAUGGGCACUAUACCCUCUAAUAGUUCUAUGGAUACUAUGUCUGAUAUGGAAGACAGAAAUCAUACACUUGAAAAUUUUAUUAGUUUGUUAAAUUCUGAUAAUGGGUGAGUAUUUCCAUUUCAUAUCUAAUUAUUUUUUUUAUUGUUUAAUUUGUGUAUAUCUUAUUUUUUAUUUUUUAUUUAUAAUUUCGAUACUUUUUUCUUUAUUAACUAUUGAUCGUUAUACCAUUGUUAUUGAAUUGAUUCUAUUGAAGCAUGGUGAUGACUGGAAACGUAAGAAACGUAGGCGGUGCUACACCUCUAUCAAGUUAUUCAAAAAUGGCAUCCAAUAUUCAAUUUCCUUCUCCUCCAUUAGACAUGUCAGGAUUGAAUAUGGAUAACAAAUGGGUACCUGAUUCUGCAUUUAAUGAUUUGGCAACUUCAAAAAAUUCAGCCAGUAAUUUCAUUGAAACAGUGAACUAUCCAAAUGCUCAAGUAUGGAAUCAGGAAGACAUAUUUUCAGUUGUAGCAGAUCUUGAAGAUGUGACAGGUUGUGAAGGUUUCCAUUCUCUAUCUUCUAGUCCAGAAAUUAAAAGUGAUUCUCCAAAUCAGAAUGGCAGGGAGGAAAACUCAACGCGUCAUCUUCAGGAUCAGAUAGGUCUGGUCAGAAGCAAAUUCCAAUGAUCAGAGCAACUUGAGGCGUAUCUUCAGGAUCAGAUAGGACAAGCAAAUUCUAAAAAUCUUGCUCCUGCUGAGGAGCAAAUCUGUAAUACCUAUUUGAUAAUUCAAUGUAAAUGUGCCAAUC